UCCGGCUUAUCACCGGCAGUCCCCUUAGAGUGCCCAACUAAAUGAUGGCAACUAAGGGCGAGGGUUGCGCUCGUUGCGGGACUUAACCCAACAUCUCACGACACGAGCUGACGACAGCCAUGCAGCACCUGUGUCCAGGUUCCCUUUCGGGCACCCCUGCAUUUCUGCAGGGUUCCUGGCAUGUCAAGGGUAGGUAAUGUUUUUCGCGUUGCAUCGAAUUAAUCCGCAUGCUCCACUGCUUGUGCGGGCCCCCGUCAAUUCCUUUGAGUUUCAGCCUUGCGGCCGUACUCCCCAGGCGGGGCACUUACUGCGUUAGCGACGGCACCGGGAGGGUCGCUCCCCCCGACGCCUAGUGCCCAUCGUUUACGGCGUGGACUAC
rnacentral:misc_RNA from 1 species